AUGGCUUCUGAGGAAACCAAACCAAAGAAGCAAAGAGAUGAGGAAUGCAUUAUAAACGGUCUCCCAGGAGAACUCAUUGAGCGGAUAUUUUUGAAGCUUCCAGUGAGCACUUUGUUGAGGUGCACUGGUGUUUGCGAGCAGUGGCACAAAAUCAUCCGAGAUCCUCAGUUUGUCACCUCUCACCUCCAGGAUGCGCCCCAAUGUGCCUUCCUAUUCUUUCCACAAGAGUCGGUCUCAGGUGAACCCCAUCCUGCUGAUGCUAUCCUGAUUGAUGAAGCCUUGUCGCCAUCGACAUAUGCAGUGCCAGUGAUUGGGCCUGACGAUUUCCUUUGCGGUUCAUGCAAUGGGCUUCUUGUCUUAUACACAAAGUCAUCAACACUCAAGGUAGCUAACUUUGCAACUGGUGAAUGUCUGCAUCUUGAGAAACCUGUAAAGAAUUUGAGGGGUGAUCACUUGUUCUACAACUUUGGAUUUCACCCAUUGACAAAAGAAUACAAGAUUACACACUUCCUUGGUGAUCUUGUUGUGGGCAGCACUCGCUCCCAUAAUAAUAGCAAAUUCAGCGUCAUUCAAGUUUACACACUUGGUGAUGAGAAAUGGAGAGAUAUCAAAACUCCAGAAGCCCUAAGCUUAAACUGUGUAAAAAACUCUGGAGCAGUCAAUAUUGACGGAACAAUGUGUUGGCUAAUUGAAGACAUGGUAGCUAACUGGCAGCAUGCAGUUAUGACCUUUGAUCUCAAUGAAGAAAGUUUUGCACGGAUACAACUGCCAGCAACUGUACAUGAAGAUUGUGCAGGUGGCGGUCCCCGUCGGCACUGGAUCAGAGAGAUAGAUAGGAAGAUAUGUAUAGCAACUGCUCAAGCCUGUCCUUCUCUUCCCAGAAGGCUUGUUGGUACGCUGCAGAUCUGGGAACUUGAGAACAAAACGGAGCAAAGGUGGAGCCUGAAGUACAAUAUUCAGUACUCGCCAGAUUACAUUCCGGGUCCAAAUUUGGUUCAUAGGAAUAAGAUCAUACUGCAACGUCGCGACAGCAACCUAUAUUCCUAUGAGUUGCUCGGGGAGAACUUCAAUACUAAAUUGUGUAAGAUGGCAAAGCUGUUAGAUUUCUUCCCCCACAAUCCUGACAACAUGCAAUCCUAUAUCUGUGUGAAGUCACUUGUACGUUUAGAUGUAUACAAGACUGCCAUUGCGCGUAGGCCAAAACAACGGGAAGGCUGGGAAUUGAAGAAGUGGGAGGCAUGGGAGCACCAGCUCUCUGAUUAUGAAAAACUGUGGACUCGCCUUCAUGAAGAAGAGCACGAGGGAAUUGCACUUGCAGAACACAGUAGCAUAUCAUUCAAUGGUCUACUGCCGCGUAUCUUGGAUGAUGCGAUUCGACAGGAUAUAGGCAUGAAAAUCAAUCAAAUAUGUCCAAGCCUUCCAGAUCAGCAACCAAGGCCCCUCCGGCGGCUUAAUUGUGUGGCACAGAAGCAAGAUAGGGAAAAUUUAUCUGCUCGUUUGGAGAAUUAUAGUAGCAUUAUGAAGGCAUCGAGGGAGGCUUCAAAGAGUAUCAUGAGUAUGAUACUUAGUGCUGUAGAAAAUCAGAGGGGUGCUUCGGGCUCAAAUGCUGGCAUUUCUUCUCAGAAUCGCAGUGAGGGAGAUGAUGUGAAGGUUUAA
rnacentral:rRNA from 1 species